ensembl:snoRNA
UUGCCCUGAUGAUACUAGAUGUGAGUGACCUGGCAUUGCUGGCCUCCGGGUCGGCUCUGGCCCGGAUAUGACCUCAGACGAUCUUCUCUCUGAGCUG